CCCGCACCGCCCCGCCGGGGCACGGGGGUGACGGCGAGCCCGCCGCACCCGCCUCACUCCGCCUCACCCGCCUCACCCGCCUCACCUCACCUGGGGCUGCCCUCCCCGGGGGUCGGAGGGGGCGGCGGGGUGGGAAGCGGAAAGCGGGCGCUAAAGCGAGGUGAAACUCCACGGAAUAAAGUAAAGCGGAGGGGCGGCCGCCGGUCCCUGGAAAGGGGUCGGGGAGCGCAGUUCGGGUUCACGCCCCGCGGCGCGGGGGAGCCCCGGCCCCGCGGUCGCGCUGCGGGCACGGGGGCGGCGGCACCUGCGCUCGCCGAGCCCCGCGCUGAGCUGAGCCCCGUCCGCCCGCGGAGCCGAGCCGAGAUGAGCCGAGCCGAGUUAAGCCGAGCCCGGCCGGGCGUGCUCGGGGCGCUCCGGCACCGGCCGCUCGCACAGCCCCGACCCCGGCGGGGCGCGGGGGAUCCGCCGCUCCGCCCGCUCGCUCCUCAUCCCCGCGGCUCCGCUCAAGGCACCAUCGCGGCCGCUCCGGUGCGCGGCAUCCCCGUAUUCCCCGCUCGGCAUCGCUGCUGCGGGGCUCGCCCCGACCCCUUUAACUUCAUUUUGUGGAUCUGGGAGUUUUAUGACCACACGUACCCUGACACCGCAACACAAGCUCCGUGCUGCACCGCGAGCAGGCAACCGAUCUAAGCGCGGGGACGCGGGUUUAUCUCCCGCUGAAUGGAACUACCGGGACUCCCAGUCAGUCUCCCGGUGCAAAUGGCCAAAAGACACGCCAACAAGAGAAGGGACGGAGAGAUAAAAUAGGAAACAUGUUAAAACAGACAGAUAAACGCCCGAGAGGAUCGUUCCUCCUCUGCGAACACACGCUUGUAUGUGCGCUCACAUGUGAGCCGGUCACCAAGCACGGCCGCGGGGACACAGACCUGGGCACAACUCUGCGAGGGAUUAAUUGCUCCUCACCUCCUCACAUACACUUUUUCAUGUUGCCACAUGCCCACCCACUCCUGCCGCAGAAAUAAUAGAUGUGGCUAAAGCCGCAGGUGUGGAGGUGAUUGGAAAGUUGUAAAAAGCACCUCGACUUGACAGUGUCCUGCCUGGAAACCUGGUGUGUUCAGACCCCACGGACGAAGAUGUUUUGCGGCUCAGUUUUAAAGACAAGGCUGCAGCGUUCCCAUUGAUCCUCACGGAGCGAAAAAAUAACCUUUACCCGAAACAGGGACCAGGAGGGACUAGGAAGACAGAAGGGGAAAAGGAUUCUUUCCCCUGUUAAAAUGUGGGGAACUGUCUUAUGAUUUCCAAAUAAACCAGAGCCGAGGAGGUCACCUUUCGGGGAGGGUGGGAGAAGAUGGGGGUUCAAAAUACAGAAUAGUCACAGACUGUUGCUGAUGUUGAGCUUCCUGAGGGGGGGAAAGAAAACCAACAAAAACCCAAACCACAACCCAACACCAACCUUUCCUGUCUCGAAUCUGACAAAGUAAACAGGAUUAAUUCACCAUAUGAAAAAGCAUUAACGCCGUCCUAACAAAUGCAGAAAUCAUAAGAGAAAGCGGUUUUAACAGGACGCACAAUAUUACUAGUUUGAACGUAUGAUCGUAAAAAUGAAAAGCCAUUGAUAUAAGCUUAAAAGCCGCCGUAUAUGCUGAUUGCUCAAGCAUUAAUGAAGAAUGCCCCAGAUUAACUAUUUGCUCUUCGAGGGAUGCAGCGAUAUAACUACCUAUUAGCACCAUUAGAUGCUUUGCUAUUUAUUUGAAAACACCCCUGCGAGUGGGUUGAGACAGAACAGAUGAAUGUAAAAAUGAACUGCAGCUAAUUUCGCUAAAUAAUCCUCGAAACCUGAGCGCCUCGCAAGGAAGGGGGAGAUUCUCCUCUGUCCUUCUCCGACGCUAAUGACAAUAGAAAUGCUCUGGUUUAAAAGUGAGACCGUGUUGGUUUUCCAAAUAAACAAACGCAUCCCUCCUGCCAUUUUACUGCAGAUGUAAAUUUAUUUUAAUGAGAGGGAGUGGAAGGAUUUAUUUUGCUAAAAUAGAGUUGAGGAUAGAGCCGGUGUAAAUCUUUAGGUUUCAAAAAGAGAGGAGGAAGGAGGGGGAAGCUGCUUUCCUGGCAGAAAGCUGCCUAACAGUCCUCUAAUUCUUUCUAGAUUAAAUCGCAAUAUGAAUACAGCAUCGAACAAAUACCGAGUUUCGCUCUGAACUCAGUGGAAAGCAGUUACGUCUAACAGAAUUCAAUGAAUUCCUCUUCUCCCUCAAUGUAGUAUGUGUGUGUUUUUCUCUUCCACCACACUGAAGUUCCAUGAAUAGGGAAAGUGGCUCCUAUUGUGUGCCUCUGAACUUCCAAGUCAAUGCAAUUUUUAACCACUGGCUUGUGGUACUUUGAAAAUCACCAGGGGCUGUCAGAGUUGGGUCCUCUGAAAAAUUUACAGUGCUAAAUCAGAGCAUAUGCUGUGAGAGAGGAAAAAAAAUUGCUUAAGAUUGGAGCAAGUACAGUAUCUGGCUGCCCCCUAGUGUAAGUCUCUUAUCUGCCUAAAAUUCAACUUUAAAAGAAAAGGAUCUCUUAAAGGGAAACGACUUUUGGCUCACGUAUGCAUACGAGAAUGAAACUUCUGUACAUUUUAAUCUGAUUAAUUCCUAAGGAUUUAAAAUUAAUUGGCUUGGGCACUCCUAGACCGGACUAUAAGAUUUCUGCAUCAGGGUUUCUGCGAGAACUAUACCGAAUAGGUAUUUUUAAGGGAUAGUGGUAAGGGAUUGGGGGGGGGGGGAGAUCCUGUUUUGUGAUUUUUUUUUUUUUUAACGAGGAACCGUGCCUCUCUUGCUGUUGUCAGAGCAAAACACUUUUGCUGCUUAAAGUCAGAUCUACGUCUUUUGCAAUAAUACUUUAAAAAAAAAAAAAAAGGAUAAAUAAUUGCCUUAAAGCCUCAGCCGAUCUACCAACCGCACCUUCGGAUGUCAGAAGGCAGAAAUAUGUGAACUGCUGAGAGAGGUGGGUACUUUUUGGUAAGUAUGUUUAGAUAUGAUCUUCAGAUACAUUUAUUGUACUUUCAAAUUCUUGGGAUACUAAUUGAGCUAGCAAACAAUAUUCCAGCUGAAUGUCUCAGCUUCUUCCCUAUUUAACAAGCUUUAAUGCAGAAGUAUAUUGUAGCCAUCCUUCUACUAAACAAUAUAGCUGAGGAGUCAGCAAAAAAUGAAAAAAACAUGUUAAAACCAAAUUAUAAUUGCUGCCUUAUAUCUGACUCUUCUGCCUUUCUGCAGUCCUAAUGAACCCUUUAAAGUUUUAUUUAUUUAUUUUUUUUUAUUUCUGAGUGACAGAUCAAAAAUAAUUAGCAGAAUCAGAAGCAGCCGGGAAGCUUGAAAUAACGUGUCUAAAUAUUUCAUAUUGCUACUUAUAAUACCAACCCAUCAGUUGUAAAAAAGAACCGUUCCCUGUUUAUUCCUUGGUAGUUUAUAAAUGCAGAAAGAUAGAUUCCUUUUUUUCCCAGGGCCUGCUUCAGCAAUGCCAUAAAUAGAGAUUGAGCUAUCAGGAAAAAACCCAAACCAGAAUAAAAUAAAAACAAAAGCCUGUGCAGGAAUAGAGGCAGACAGAUAAAUGUAUAACUGCAUCUGAACGGUGUUACAUAGCACAUUCGGAGAUGGUUAAAAAAAAUUAAAUCGAUCGCAUAUUUAUAACCUCAUAAUUAAAAUACAGUCUUAUCUCUCUCCUCUGAAAGGUUGCAGCUUUCUUGGAAGUAUUUUGAGUGCAUAUUUUAAACUCCAUGUCCCGAACUGAAUUAAGAUGAGCUGUUUUGCCCAAGAGUGAAACCCUUGUUUACAAUUUAAGGUUUAAGUUUCAGCUGCCUACUCAUCGCCAUAUCAUUUUCUUUACAUCUCACGUCCUUACAUUUACAGGCUUUAUCUAAAUUUAUGUUAGUUUAUACCAAAUUCUAAUUUCUGUUUCUAAGAAAUUAGUUGAUAUAAUCCAAAACAGUCCCCCUUGCUUGAUAGAGGUAAACUGGAAGAGAAUCUUUCACAUUCAAAGGGUUAAAGCUAAACCGAAAACUUUAAAUUAGAGAGAUACCAGCAAACGGUGAAAAAUGACACGUUUGCUCUCUCUUGACAAGCUUGCACUAUAUCACAUGUAAGGAAGCCCAAAUUUUUGAAUCUAAGACCAGUUUUAGUUUUUAAUAGGAAAUAAUUACAUGGAACUUUAUUUCCAGAGAGAAUGUCCCUUCCAGCUACAGUGUUUUGCUUUGAUCUAAGCAUUAACUGGUAAUAAAAUAACCAUAUUUUGGAUCCUAAGCAUAUUGAUGCUUAGAGGAAUGUUAUGCUUUCAAUCAAAUUUUAACUUUAGAUUAUCCAAAGGUAUUCAUCCUUCUUUUGUCCGAAACCAAUUUGCUCUCUUACUCCUACAGCUACUCACAUGCGGUUCAGUAUACUUUGUUAUUUUAUAGCGGAAUUUGCACUAUUGAGGUGGAAAACUCUUAGAUGGAGUGAGAUCAUGUUCCAAUCUGGCAAUUUGGGCUGUUUCUCAUACAGGUCCCCAGUCCAGCCCUUCUUUACACUUGCUGUACACCACCACCAUCGCUCACCUCCAAGGGCGACUACUGUGUCAGUAUUUUGUUUUAAAUAUUCAGAUUUUUUUAUUUAAUUUUUUUUUUUUAACCUGGAGAAUCAAUCAUUUGGACCCAUCCUGAACAAUUAACCUCCCCUUUAUAUUACAGCCCCAAGUGCAGUACUUCAUAAAGACAUGAAAAGGACACCCAAGUCAGCAGGACCUGAGCCCAGGCUUGUCACAGAUUAUAAAAGGAGAGAGAAGGGGAGUUUUUAUCUCUUUGCCCCACCAAUUCUUAAUAGCUCUAAGUUUCAGUGUGACAAUAAAACAGUUUUGAUAACAUAGCUCAUGGCUUUCUCUGCCACAUAAAGUUUUCUUAAUAAUAAAAAAGAAGAAACUUUAUCCCUGCUAAAUUAAAAUAGGGCAGAUGUUGGAUAUGGUUCAUAUUAGCCAGCCUUUCACCCCUUUGCCCCUGGCACUAAAGUUCUGACUUUUUCUUUCUACUAUGUCUGUUUCUAACUGAAAGGUAUUAUUCCUGCCCUCGCUCUCUUCUUCUAUUUAUUUUUUCAGUGUCUAAAAUUAAACCUAUUCAUUUAGUAAUAUACAUUCUAUUUCACAUUGCUAAACCUGGCCAGAGAGGGGAAACGUUUUCCAAAAAAGUGAUGCACCACUGACCUUAAAAGAAAACAUGGAGCAGGGAAAGCUGUUCUUAAAGGGUUUAUUUCUAGAGAAUUUUGUAGCUCUAUUGACAUUAUAGGGAUAAUGGCUGUAUUGCAAUGGGCUUUCAAGGCCCAAGAGGUUUAUGUUUUCUUCUGACCAUAAGCCUAAUAAAAUUUUAAAGGUGCACCAAGUCUCAUCACUUCAGAUAUUUAAAACUAGUUUGAAAAAUCUCUUGGGAAACAUAUAUUAUAGUGGAUAGCCCCACUGAGAAAGCGGGGGAUAGGCAAAAAAAAUACCCCAAGCCCAAAUCCAAAUAAACCCCCCCCCCCAGUUUUUUUCAUCCUAGCUCUAUGAAAAUCCUGGCUAUUAAACUCCCAAGGAUAGUACAGCUCUUUUCUCCAGGGCUGUGAAGAUAGAAUUUAUUGUCCAUUUGGAAUGAUCAAGUUUAGGCUAAUAAAAGGCCCUCUGUAAGCAGAAAUGCCCAAGUUGACGUUUGGCAGAGUUUUCAGUGGUGGAGUUUAUACAGGAUGGGGGCUCUGCACUAUUUGAAAUUACUCAUAUCUCAGCAGCCGAAGAUGAUCUGACACACACGAGUAAACGUUCGUGGGGAAUGGCUGGGGGUUAAUCAGCGUUUCUUUCCCGAGCUGGGUGCUUGAAAGCAGGAAAAAGUGAAAGCUGCUCUCUCAGCCCUUCCCUUUGCUAAGGUGCUGCUAACUUUUAUGAUUUUUUUUUUCUUCCCCUUCCUCUUUUACUGUCUGUCUUUGUGCCUGAGGGCCAGUGAAAGAACACUGCAGAUUCUAGAUUGCUUUCAGAGUUUCCCUUUGCUGAUGAUGGAUUACCAUGUCAAUUUAAACGGCAUAGGAUUAAUUUGUUUCAAUGAUUUCUCUUUAGGCUGAAUGCCAGUCUUUUUUUCUAUCUCUCUCCUUGCUCUUCAGAAAAAAAAUAAUAACAAUAAUAAUAACAAAUCCUUAAAACCCCCAAACACUUUUGAUAUCCCACAUCAAAAAGACAAUAAUAGAAAUAGACAAGUUAGGUGUAAUGUUGCAACGCAGUUGUAGGUUUGAGCGUUUUUAUCUCAUUCUAAGGGGCUGCAGCAUACAGUCAGUCACAUUAAAAUGAAAUUGGAUCCAACGUUUAUUCAAUAAAUACUUGUCUUGUAGGUAAUCCAGAGCAGAGUGCUUUUGACACAUAAGGACUUAAUUUGUCUUGGAUAACAAGUUAUUAAUAUGGCACAUUUAAACUUGCCACCUACAAUAAGGUCAUUUAGAUCUAUAAUACGACUCACGAGAGAACUUCAUAAAGCCAGAAACAAAGUUUGAAGCUGCCUCCGAGUCGCGGAGCAGACGCACGGCUCACGGUUUGCUCUUUUCAGAAGAAAGUUCAGAGCAAGUAGGAGCCACCCAAACCCAAAUGGUGUGCAUCUGCUCCGCUUUGAGAGGCGAACGUAAACGGAGUAAGGAGGGGAGGGGAAAAGGAAAAAAAAAAAAAAAAAAAGAGAACCCAAACACACAUUUUUGAAUGAGUAAGCUUUAAAGCUGCGCUGCGUCUGCUCGCAAACUCAUCGCAGCUUUGAAAGUGAAAAAACAACAUUUGGUUCCGAGUGCAAAUUCGCCUGCAUUUGCACCCUACCUCUUCCAUGUGCUCCGCAAUCGACUCGCUUUUAAUAAUAAGCGAGGAAGUUGGAGCAUAAUCCACCCAUAAAUGUUAUUGCUGUAAUUUGACUGCUCUGUGUUUGUUCAUGCAUUAAGCUGUACGUGUAAAGCGGAGUGGCGAUGUAUGGUGGGGAUCCCCGUGCCGAGUGAACAAACAGAGGUGUUUUGGGUUUCAACGCCCAAGCGCUGUGCGGUUGUUUUGAAUUUUUGGGGUGUUUGGUUUCAGACCUGCCCUAACUGAACGGUGCCUGCAAGAGGUGCAUCAGGAGGGGAAUAUGAUGGGAAUGCUACGCAGGAGGUGUUUGGUGGAUGGCGAUUCCGUCUCCACGCUCUGUCAGUGAGCUUUAUUAUUCUGCUUUUACGUAUUAAGAUCUUGGUUGCUCUUGCCCUGGCAGAUUCUGUCUCUUUAAGUAACUAAAUCUCAUUUUUAAGCUCUUCCUGGGAAAAGGAUGUUACACAUGAGUAGAAAAAUGCAGGCAAGAAAGGCUAAUUGAAUGAAAAGAGAGAAUUAGGUUAAAAAUAGAGUACAAUCUAGUAUCACAUUUUCACUGGUGUAACCUGAAAUGAAGGUGUCUCCAAGUCCCCAGUGAUGCCAGAGUGUUUAGAUGUUGGGCACAGAUGGAGACACCUAUUGAAAUGUGUCUGAAGAAGAUUAAUAGGACUUGUCAGUGUUGGGAAAGCACUGCUUUGCUGUAAAUUUCUACUAGCACAAGAUGAAUUACCGAUGAAUGCUCAGUUAUCAACCCCAUCACUAUCAUUGGACACUAAAUCAAAUUGAGCAGUUAUCUACAAUCAGAAAAUUUCUUUUAAAAAUAGGCAUACACCUUUAGGCUUAAACUCUUUAAUAAGACAAUAUCCUCGAUGGUAUGUGUGUGUUCACGAAGGGAUACGAUUAAAAGUUUCUGUACAAAAAGCUUCUGUUCGGAAAUGAACUCUAAGUUCAGUGUGAAAUCAGGGUUGUCAAACAAUAGAAGAUAUUCAGAAAAUACUGGUUAUAUAACACAGUGUUCUGCUGGGGGCCUGAUCCAAAAUGGAUUUUCAUGCAUGUCAUUAGAUUUUGGAUCCAUCCCUAUUUAUGAGAGGAUUUUUAAAUCUCUUCUCUCCCCUUAUUUAUGGUGAUGAUAUAAACCCCAUUCUCUCUACCCUAAAGACCGAGAAUCCAAAUCAUGCAUUCAUGCAAAAUAGCUAUCAAGACUCAGGAUGUAUGUAUAACAAUAAUACCACCCCACAACAUAUUUAGGAAAUUACAGCUUAAUAUAAUGAACUGUGUGAAGAAAGAAUCAGUGAAUAAUAUUUUAACUGAGAAUAUUUCUUUCUCUCCUUUAUAAAAGGGGAAACUGCCACAAGGAAAGGUACCACAAGGGUUUACCAGCCCACUGCUGAAGCAUAUUACCUGUGUUUACCAUCUGAUGCUGCUAAUAGCAAUGAUAUUAAAUAAGCAUUUUAUACUUUUAGUUUCUAGGAUUUCUUUCCCUCUCACCCAGGCAGUGCACUAUUUUAUCCAAGGAGUUUUAUCAUGGUGUGUUUUCCAAAGUCAAUUUUUCCCUUUUAUUAGAGACAAGGGCAGUCAUUUGUGUUUAGGGAGGGAGACAGGUACAGAGCCUUUAUCUGAUCUGUGUCCCCAGCCACCACUACCUUCUUAAUCGAUGUCAAAUUCCCACUCUGGAGGAUCAGGCCCUAUCUGGGUUACUCCUUAGCCAAGGAAUGUAUCCUUCCCUUCAUCUCCAGACUUCUCACCUGUGAGGUAUGUUACUUUUUGUAUGCUACUUUUUGUGAAGGGAAUAAUGUGCUGUUUACCACAAAGCCUUCGUGCGUUUCUCAUCUCCUGCCAAAGCUUAUUAUUUACCACCUAAAAAAUUUACCAGGGUAAGGGAUAGCAGCAGUUGUUUUCUUCAUUUUUACACCCUAAUUUUCACGCAGCAAAUGCCCUGCAUUAGGACCAGAUUCCACUCAGAUGGAAGUUAUUAACUUUGAGCAGAGUGGGCCGAUUCCAGCCAGCCACAGCCUGCGCCCUUCGAACGCAGUCGCUUUACAGCAUCACCAUGUUUAUUUUUUUUCUUUGGAGGGCAUGAUUCUUUAAACAUAUUUGUUUUACACAGAGCAGCAGUUGAAUCCUAACUUCUUUUUUCCCCCCACGAACAUGUAAAGAGAAUAUUAAUAGGGAAUAUUAACAGAGGCGAGUGCAGCAUGAUGCUAGUUAGAUUGUAGUAGCUGAGAAAUAUGAACUAGUGAACAUAAUCCAUAAACUCCAUUUGGUUACUAUAAUACUCCAAUCUGUAUUUAUUACAACCCCACUCUGAUGCUUAUACAACUGCAAUUGCUAGAUUUAUACACUCUAAUGGUUUCACAAUAGGAAAAACCUGUGUUCUUUAUCUUUCUUUUCCUGUCCAAAAUAACCCCUUCCACAUAUACUUCAGGCUUCUCUGGACCUUGUCUGGGUUUAAUCACAGGCUCUGGGACAAAAUGUGCAUUAUUAAGAAAUAUAAAUAUUUUCAGAAGCAAUCAAAGGGUUGAAAGAUUGAUUCGGCAUGUAGAUUGGAUUUAAUUCGAAGCAGCUUUGUUCUAAUGAGGACUACUGGGAUACAAAGACGGCAGCCGCUUAUGGCCACCAGUUGGGAACCUCGACUCGCUGCAGCAACCUGUCAAGAAUUCCAAGAAACUGCCAGGUAUUAAAGAGGGAAGUUGUGGGGAGGAUGGUGGUCUAUUGUUUGCAGCCUCCUUCCGAGGCUGGAUUAGGAUUUCUUAAGCCCCUGUUUUACCAAAAUGAGUUUCUUGCUGCUCACGGGGCCAAAUCCCGCAGUCCCUCACUCAGGGAAAACCCCUAUGGGCUUUGUGGGCAGAUUUGCCUAAGGGAAAGGUAGCAAAGCUUGGCUGAGCCUCCACUCUAGAAAAUUUGGGAGCCCUGUAGCAAUUUGUUCCGAUUCCAGACCUGAUUGUUUUCGCGGUGACUUUUUCCUUUAAAUUUCGCUAUCUGUGCUUCUAGGUGUGAUGGGACCUUUUUGCACAGGGAGAUGUUUUUCCCUAUGGAGAAAUACAGCUCUGUGAUGGCUUGGAAACUCUUGUGUCCUUGUUGGGUGACCCAGAAGAACUGCUGGACCCGGCCUGUUUCCUGCCUGCAACAAAAUAUCCUCGGGAUGAUGCUGAACCGAAGGGGACCUUUGAUUGCUUUCCCCUCAGACUGAAAAAACACCCAACAGUAAAAUUUCAGUGUGGGCCGUGGGGGGGGCGUGUGUCACGUCACAGGUACUUGGGGAGCACACGUCCCUGGGAGCUUUCCUAAACACCGGGCGUACAGUCAGAAUCACAGGAUAUACAGGAUCAAACACUGACUAGUUUUGCUCUCCCCUUAGCCCCCCCUUGCCUACUUGUGUCCAUAAAAGCAAUAGAAAGAGAGAAAGCUUGAAUUUUCUGAACUGUUUCACCCAUCCACAGCUGGAAUUCCAAAGCGAAAUGAAAAUGCCUUUAAAAUCAACCCUACAUGGGAGCCUGAGAGAACAAGUUUUCCUUUGUUGUAGGGUAUAGUAUUAUUUGCUGUAGGUUUUUGAUAUACAUUCUAAAUUAGGCCUGCAAAGGAAUGCUUCAUCUUUAAUUCAUCACUCUCAGCUGAAAGAGAUUAGCAAUGUCUAGCACGCACCCUUCGUAUGGUGCUGACCUCAUCAAGUAUGGCCUGAAAUUAAUUAGCCUCAUUCAUUCCAAAUGGAAAAGGAUAAUGGAGCUGCAUUUUAGAGAUGACCAUCACAAAUUGUAUGCAGCACAUUUAAAAUCCCUCCCCCCUCGCUCCCCUCCCCUUUAAAAAAAAAAAAACCUAUGUAGAUUAAAAUUCUUUCCAGAACUUGCAAUAUGUCAGAGUUAUCGAGGUAUUAGGAGCAGAAACCACUCCGUUUUUAUUUGUGGAACUGGGAGCCACAUUUUGUAUGUGUGGCUGUAAAAGCAGCAAGCCUGUCUUAAUGGUAGAACACCUGGAAUUAAUUUGAUAUUUCCAGGUGCUCUGGCAAACUGGGACAUCAAGCACUUGAUGUUUAAACAUUCUUCCACUGGCCUGCCUAAAUCAAUAUGAAAGUGGUGUCCCUUUGUCAUUCAUACAUGCAAAGUGCUAGCACAAACUCCAGCUUGGCUUCAGAGUCCUACAUCACUCAUAAUCUAAUUAGAAAUCAGAGCAGAGCUGAAGCAGCAUUCUUUGUGGAUUCUUGGGCGGCAAAUAGGGAUACUUGUCUUUUGUUUCCCUCCUCGAUUGCAUCGUUCACAAGCUUUCACACCACAUCUCUAAAGGUGGUUAGGUGCCUCAAGAUGUUGACAGGCAUGAAGGACAAGAUUAUUUAGGUGCCUAACCAGGGGUGAUUUCAAAUGGAAUUAAGCAACUGGAUGUUACUGGGUAUGGGGGGGGGGAGCGGGUAUGGGGAAGGGAAAAAAAAAGCUUCCAGUGCAUAUUAAAUGCUCUAAUUUGUUGUCCUAAACUCUAGCAACGUGUGUGAUGUUUUUCCAGGGUAAAACUGCCUGCGGGGUAAAUUUCCUGAAGCCUGCUAAUUUUCCCUGAGGUCAGCGGGCACUUGGCUUUGGGCAGCACAGCCCUCCCUGGCUGGGCACGGGGGUGACGUGUGCUCCAGUUCCUUCCCAAGAGACAGGAGAAGUAAUGAAGGAUGCGGGAUUUCCCACAGGAAUUUGGAAGAUGCCCAUAUCUAAGACAAUGGUGAGGACUGGGCCAAAAUGCAGAUCCAGCCUCGAUUCAUCCAUCGGAUCCACCCUGUCUUGACCUACAGCUGCUGAUGCAUCGCAGCGACGUGGACCCUCCUCUCUCCACACUCCCCAGCAUCAGAACACCAAGACGACCUGAGAGUACUGGAUGAACCAUUACAAGACCAUGAUUGGAAAGGGUGGGGACCAAGCACACAG